UACGUAGGGGGCAAGCGUUGUCCGGAUUUAUUGGGCGUAAAGCGCUCGCAGGUGGUUCGUCGCGUCGUGCGUGAAAGACCCCGGCUCAACUGGGGGAGGUCGUGCGAUACGGGCGGACUGGAGGCCAGUAGGGGGAUGCGGAAUUCCGGAUGUAGUGGUGGAAUGCGUAGAGAUCCGGAGGAACACCAGCGGCGAAGGCGGCAUCCUGGACUGGUCCUGACACUCAUGAGCGAAAGCGUGGGGAGCGAUCCGG
rnacentral:rRNA from 1 species